rnacentral:lncRNA from 10 species
UGCAUUCUAGGAAGAUCAUUCCUUAAAAGAAAUAGCCAUAUGGCUUAUAAGAUGGAGUCUCACUCUUGUCACCCAGGCUGCAGUGCAAUGGUGCGAUCUCGGCUCACUGCGACCUCUGCCUCCCGGGUUCAAGUGAUUCUUCUGCCUCAGCCUCCCAAGUAGCUGGGAUUACAGGGACUAUAUCUUAAGACUAUGUGUCUUCUGCAGUUCUUUGCAUAGAGUCAACGUUGAAGGACAAGCAACUUCAAAUUUCCAAGCAACAAAAUUAUGUUCGGGUGGUUUUCUGAAAGCGAGAUCUUAAGAACCACCUGUAUCAGAAUCCCAUGAAGAGCUUGUUUAGUGUGCAAAUUUACAGAUUGUCCCCCCUCAGAAAUGCUCAUUUAGGAGUUCCUGUCCUUUGCGGGGACAUGGAUGAAGCUGGAAACCAUCAUUCUCAGCAAACUAACACAGGAACAGAAAACCAAACACUGCAUGUUCUCACUCAAAAGUGGGAGUUGAACAAUGAGAACACAUGGACACAGGGAGGGGAACGUCACACACCAGGGCCUGUCGGGGGUGGGAGGUAAGGGGAGGGAGAGGAUUAGGACAAAUACCUAAUGCAUGUGGGGCUUAAAACCUAGAUGAUGGGUUGAUAGGUGCAGCAAACCACCAUGGACAUGUAUACCUAUGUAACAAACUUGCAUGUUCAGUACAUGUAUCCCAGAACUUAAAGUAAAAUAUAAAACAA